AACACCUCAAUUUCAUGAUUCUUAAUUUUGAAAUUGGACUUGAGCAGAUCCCAACGCAUAUUUCAUUAUACGUGGAGGGUUGCUUCAAAUGCAGGUGCAGCCGAUCAUUCUUCUGGGCUAAAAGCAUUAUCUAGUUAAUCCCGUAAAACGGAUUAUUCACUUUAUUGCUGCGGCUUACCUUUAUAAAAGGAAGACAUGAUCAUUGUGCUGACUGAUGCAGGAUUUCUCAGAGGUCUGUAAAGACUUUUGAAA
rnacentral:misc_RNA from 1 species